GUCCUGGUCGAUUAGUGGUGAAAUCAUCUCGUUGUGGACUUCCUUUUCUCUUCCGAGAAGCCGAGGGCUCGACUCCCUCCCGGGACA